CAAGAUGAGGUUAUAGACAUACUUUCUUCAUGCCAAUUUUCUAUAAGAGUUUUCUUGUGGACUAACUUUGGUCAAUGAAGAUCCCCUUUCUUGUUUGUCUUAAUUUGGAGUUUGAGAGAAAAUGUUAACUCAUUCAUCAUAUAUAUUUCAAACUCACCUUGCAAGAGCUUAGUAAAAUCUUCAUUAGUAAAACCAAAAAUGAUGUCAUCAAUGUAUACUUUGAGU
rnacentral:lncRNA from 1 species